GAUGAACGCUGGCGGCGUGCCUAAUACAUGCAAGUCGAGCGAACAGACGAGGAGCUUGCUCCUCUGACGUUAGCGGCGGACGGGUGAGUAACACGUGGAUAACCUACCUAUAAGACUGGGAUAACUUCGGGAAACCGGAGCUAAUACCGGAUAAUAUAUUGAACCGCAUGGUUCAAUAGUGAAAGACGGUUUUGCUGUCACUUAAAGAUGGAUCCGCGCCGCAUUAGCUAGUUGGUAAGGUAACUGUUUACCAAGGCGACGAUGCGUAGCCGACCUGAGAGGCGGUACGGCCACACUGGAACUGGGACACGGUCCGGACUCCUAGGGGAGGCAGCAGUAGGGAAUCUUCCGCAAUGGGCGAAAGCCUGACGGAGCAACGCCGCGUGAGUGAUAAAGGUCUUCGGAUCGUAAAACUCUGUUAUUAGGGAAGAACAAAUGUGUAAGUAACUAUGCACGUCUUGACGGUACCUAAUCAGAAAGCCACGGCUAACUACGUG
rnacentral:rRNA from 1 species